CUGUCUCAAAAUAUUUCUCCUGGCAAUUGUGCCAAUUGUUUUGCAGGAUAAAGACUUCGAGAACUACGUGUUCCUUACGGUAUCUAAGCCUCUGUCAUACUGAACAGUCCCAGGAUUGGGAGUGGCUUGCUUGGACCUUGGCUGCAUCAUCCAGAGAUGGAAAUCUCCAGUGUGAAACAGCUGAUGUCUUGAAGUGUCUGGUGAAUGAAACACGAAGGCUUCUGACGCAGUUACGGUGUUACACCAGUUGUUUCRUCUGUCUACUUCCAGCUCUGCCUACGUGAAGGAGGCCUUCUUGGUAUCUGGAAGCGACCGUCUACUCAUCUGCCCCUGCUCCGUGCAUCUCGCAGACCUGGAGAAGGGAAGGUCAGGACGCUUUGUUGGUAUCUGCCUGAAGAUCAUGUUUUUCUCCAGUGUAUCUGUGGGAAUGUUCAGCAUGAUCGCGAACGGAGGAGGCUGUCUCUCAGCAAGGGUAUCCUCCUUGAGACGCUUCAUCUAGGAUUUUAAGCAGCAUGGUGCAGCACCCUGGUUUGAGGAAAAUAUCUGCUUUAAUUAUUAGGUAGGUAGUAAUAUUUCGGAAUAAAACAAACUUCAAAUUUAACUACRUAAGUAAC
rnacentral:lncRNA from 1 species